UUCUCCCCAUCCUUUCUAUCUUCUUCAAAUCACCACACCUCUUCCUUGUCCUCUAUUUUCUAUCUUCUUCAAGCUUAAACAUAUUACCAAUAGCCAUUAAAUAAACCCAACAAAAUCAAUUCAAAACAUAAUUAAAAACCUCUUCUGAUUCUAACACAAACCCAACAAAAUAAAUAGCUCAAAAUAUACCAUACAACAAAAACAUGGAAAACAAAAUCAAGAUUGAAUUUUUAAAACAUAAUUACAAGCCCUUUAUGGAUUCCUUCAUCAACCCACAAAUUCAAGAAACAAUAAUGUAAUAGCAUCACCACAUUCCAAUUCAAAACUCUUCAUUUCGAAAUAUUCCAACAAAACUCACCGAAAAAUGAUUAAGACAAACUCAAAAAAAAUAUAUGUACACCAUUAACGCCACCAUCAUCAUUAACACCACCACCAUCAUAAUUAAUACUGCUGUUAAUAACUUUUCUUCAAUUUUAAUUUUAUUUCAAAUUUUUAAAUUCAUGAAGAUAACUUUUAAUUUAGAAAUUCAAUUUCAUUCUUUUCUAAUGAUCUUAAAUCAAAGGGUUUAGGUGGAGUGAAGAAUUUGGUAAUUGAAGGAGAAGAAAUUGGAGAUUUGGAAGGGAGGGGCAGGGCUGAUGGUGGAGAAAUUGGUGGUUGAAGGAGAAGGGGGGCUGGUGGUGAUGGUGGGUUUGGAGAGUAAAAAUUAUGGUGGAGAUGGAGGUAGAAGAAGAAGAUGAAGAAA
rnacentral:lncRNA from 1 species